AUUAAGUUAAUCCUAUUCCAAAUACAUUUUUAAAUUAAACUAUUCAAAUGAUGAAAGUUAUUGUUGUUUUUUAAGCGUUUAUUAGCGAGUGGAAAUUAGCAACAUGGCCGCCAUCUAUUCAAAUGGGAGUAACCGCUGGAAUAUUCUGGGCUUCAAUUUUACUAAAAGAGAUGCUCUAUCUAGUGUAUAUAAGAUAUCUAUGGUUUCUUCGUAUAAACUAUCAAAAUCAAUUCCAAUGAGACCAUUUUUAAUUGAGGUCAAGGAAUUCACGAAUUUGGUUAAAUGUUACGUACGUUGCCUGUUGGUCUACAUUUAAAAGAUGGUAUAUAAUACAAAAUUGUAAAUAGUGCUGGUUAAUAUCUAACACUAUAUUUCCGCUAAUUACGAAGAUAUCAUCAUUUCUGGAAGAUCUUUCACACAGAGCAAACCUGUCUCUUUCACUGUUUCUGC